rnacentral:lncRNA from 1 species
UCACAUUUAAAAUGAGAUAAAUAAUAGAAUAACAAUAAAUAAAACACAAAAAAUCGACUCAAAUUUAAAGAAAUGAAAAUUUCCAUUUUUCUAUCUAAAAAUAAUCCAUAAAACAAACCUGAAAUUAAAGACAAAUAAAACAUUUUUUUAAUAAAAAAAUGACUCUAACCUAACCCAACGGGUUGGCACGCUUGAUCCGCGGGUUGGCCCGUCUAACCCGCGGGUUAAACGAGCCAGGUUGCACUAACCCAAGUUCUUUUCGAGCUGGAAUUUAACCAACCCAACCCGGCUCAUUUAGCCAACUCGUUGAGUUGGCCCGCGGGUUGGAACCCAUAUUGACAGCUCUACCACCCCUGUCAGAUUCCGGCAGCCGGGGAACCCCCUUCCGGCGAGCUUCACCACCUUCUUCUCCUUCUCUGUCACCAACCUCAACCCCUCAUGAAUUGUUAUAUCUGAGAUCUUGGCUCAUAGAUGCAGGUGGGUGCGGAGAAAGAGGCACGACGAUUAAAAAAGGGCCAUGUGCACUGAUAAAAUCUUGAUCGUUUAAGGGCGAUUACCGGCGGCGGCGGGGUGAAGGUUGGUUGAGGAGAGGGGCGGAGGGGACGGGUGCACGACGGAAGCGGGCGUGGCCGUUGCGGUUGAGGAGGGUGAUGAGUUUUUAGAUCUGUUUGGAUGUGAGAGGGUUGAUGAGAGAGGAGAUUGAUGAGAUUGAGGGAUGCGAAGAAGAUGAAGCAGGUGAAACUUUGAUAGAGAGAAAAAAAAAAAAGUGGGUUUAUGUGAAACGGUGUCACG